UGCGAAUGGCUCAUUAAAUCAGUUAUCGUUUAUUUGAUAGUACCUUACUACUUGGAUACCUGUGGUAAUUCUAGAGCUAAUACAUGCUAAAAACCCCGACUUCGGGAGGGGUGUAUUUAUUAGAUAAAAAACCAACGCCCCUCGGGGCUCCUUGGUGAUUCAUGAUAACUUCUCAGAUCGCAUGGCCUUGCGCCGGCGACGGUUCAUUCAAAUUUCUGCCCUAUCAACUUUCGAUGGUAAGGUAGUGGCUUACCAUGGUUUCAACGGGUAACGGGGAAUUAGGGUUCGAUUCCGGAGAGGGAGCCGGAGGAACGGCUACCACAUCCAAGGAAGGCAGCAGGCGCGCAAAUUACCCAAUUCCGAUACGGAGAGGUAGUGACAAUAAAUACUGAUACAGGGCUCUUUUGGGUCUUGUAAUUGGAAUGAGUACAAUUUAAACCUCUUAACGAGGAACAAUUGGAGGGCAAGUCUGGUGCCAGCAGCCGCGGUAAUUCCAGCUCCAAUAGCGUAUAUUAAAGUUGUUGCAGUUAAAAAGCUCGUAGUUGAACCUUUGGCCCGGCAGGCUGGUCCGCCUCACCGCGUGCACUUGUCCUCUCGGGCCUUUUCUUCUGGGCAACCGCAUGCCCUUCACUGGGUGUGUUGGGGACCAGGACUUUUACUUUGAAAAAAUUAGAGUGUUCAAAGCAGGCCUUUGCUCGAAUACGUUAGCAUGGAAUAAUAGAAUAGGACGUGCGGUCCUAUUUUGUUGGUUUCUAGGACCGCCGUAAUGAUUAAUAGGGACAGUCGGGGGCAUCAGUAUUCAAUUGUCAGAGGUGAAAUUCUUGGAUUUAUUGAAGACUAACUACUGCGAAAGCAUUUGCCAAGGAUGUUUUCAUUAAUCAGUGAACGAAAGUUAGGGGAUCGAAGACGAUCAGAUACCGUCGUAGUCUUAACCAUAAACUAUGCCGACUAGGGAUCGGGCGGUGUUUCUAUU
rnacentral:rRNA from 1 species